rnacentral:rRNA from 1 species
AGUGAACGCUGGCGGUAGGCCUAACACAUGCAAGUCGAACGGCAGCACAGUAAGAGCUUGCUCUUACGGGUGGCGAGUGGCGGACGGGUGGGGAAUACAUCGGAAUCUACUUUUUUGUGGGGGAUAACGUAGGGAAACUUACGCUAAUACCGCAUACGACCUACGGGUGAAAGCAGGGGAUCUUCGGACCUUGCGCGAUUGAAUGAGCCGAUGUCGGAUUAGCUAGUUGGCGGGGUAAAGGCCCACCAAGGCGACGAUCCGUAGCUGGUCUGAGAGGAUGAUCAGCCACACUGGAACUGAGACACGGUCCAGACUCCUACGGGAGGCAGCAGUGGGGAAUAUUGGACAAUGGGCGCAAGCCUGAUCCAGCCAUACCGCGUGGGUGAAGAAGGCCUUCGGGUUGUAAAGCCCUUUUGUUGGGAAAGAAAAGCAGCAGGUUAAUACCCCGCUGUUCUGACGGUACCCAAAGAAUAAGCACCGGCUAACUUCGUG